GAAUAACACCGGGAAACUGGUGCUAAUACCGCAUGACAUCUUCGGGUCACACUGAAGAUCAAAGCCUUUCUACUGCAAGGCCUGGCGCUUGGAGAGGAGCCCGCGUCCGAUUAGCUAGUUGGUGGGGUAAUGGCCUACCAAGGCUUCGAUCGGUAGCCGGCCUUAGAGGGCGGACGGCCACACUGGGACUGAGACACGGCCCAGACUCCUACGGGAGGCAGCAGUGGGGAAUUUUUCGCAAUGGGGGAAACCCUGACGAAGCAACGCCGCGUGGAGGAUGAAGGUCUUCGGAUUGUAAACUCCUGUCGACCGGGACGAAAGUAGUCUGACCCAACACGUCAGGCUAUUGACUGUACCGGUGGAGGAAGCCACGGCUAA
rnacentral:rRNA from 1 species